rnacentral:rRNA from 1 species
UACGGGGGGAGCAAGCGUUGUUCGGAUUUACUGGGCGUAAAGGGCGCGUAGGCGGUCAGCACAAGUCAGUUGUGAAAUCUCCGGGCUUAACUCGGAAAGGUCAACUGAUACUGUGCGACUAGAGUGCAGAAGGGGCAACUGGAAUUCUCGGUGUAGCGGUGAAAUGCGUAGAUAUCGGGAGGAAUACCGAUGGCGAAGGCAGGUCUCUGGGCUGACACUGACGCUCAUGCACGAAAGCGUGGGGAGCAAACAGG